rnacentral:rRNA from 1 species
CGAACGCUGGCGGCAUGCCUAACACAUGCAAGUCGAACGAGACCUUCGGGUCUAGUGGCGCACGGGUGCGUAACGCGUGGGAACCUGCCCUUAGGUUCGGAAUAACUCCCCGAAAGGGGUGCUAAUACCGGAUAAUGUCUUCGGACCAAAGAUUUAUCGCCUUUGGAUGGGCCCGCGUUGGAUUAGCUAGUUGGUAGGGUAAAAGCCUACCAAGGCGACGAUCCAUAGCUGGUCUGAGAGGAUGAUCAGCCACACUAGGACUGAGACACGGCCCAGACUCCUACGGGAGGCAGCAGUGGGGAAUAUUGGACAAUGGGCGAAAGCCUGAUCCAGCAAUGCCGCGUGAGUGAUGAAGGCCUUAGGGUUGUAAAGCUCUUUUACCCGGGAUGAUAAUGACAGUACCGGGAGAAUAAGCUCCGGCUAACUCCGUG